CUUGUAUGGGGAUUGUAAUAUUAACAAGUUUAUGUCACAGUUUGUCAUAUCUUUUCUAGCCUAAAUAAGUUUGCUGUAGGUAAAUCUAGCUGUGGUUAAUGACAAUUAUUUUUUUCUAUGUGUUUUACAGGUUAUGGCAUCUCCAGUCUCUCAACUGAAGAUAGUGAGAGGUGGGAAAGCCGCAGGCUGCUGCAGGACUUUGACAUUGACAGCAACUACACUGAUGAAGUGCAGGUUGGGCCCAAUGCUGAAAAGAACUGCACACCACCAGUUGGACAUUUGCCUAGCAGAUGAGUCAUGUGACCUGACCUUUGAGAGCAGUGCUGACCUUAGGCUUACUGCAGAAAGAGAGGACCACAAUAUGGUUUUUAUCUUUUUAGUGCUCAGCCGACACAUUUUCUUUCUACAUUUCUGUUGUUAUUCGGCUGAGGCUGGCACAGUCUGGUGUUUGCUAGAUAACAGUUGAACCAGUGGAUCAGCGCAAUAUUAUACACAGACCACUAAAGUAACGUAAUAGAGUGUGAAGUAAAUGAAUGUAAACUUUAUGAAUGAAAAGAGCGCAAAUCAAACACCGCAUUGCUGUUGCCUCUCCGUGCCUCUCUCAGAAAUCAGAGCUUGGCAAGAGUAAUAUCACCUAUAAUAAUACAUCAUACAAGUUCUAUUAUUUGUAUAUAUUUAAAAGGCAAUGAUGUAAACCUUAGGCUACGAUCUGAUACGAAUGAAUGGAAUAAGCACAGCACGCUCACCAAUCAAACAGCCCCAUUGCGCAUCUAGGUCUUUCAAAAAACAAACCAGUUCUCUCUCAAGAGUAGGCUAAAAAUCAACUUAGAUACAGAUACAUUUUCUACUUGGCCUACAUGUUUGCAUCUUUAUCUUUUGCUGGUUUGCGUUGCAGGCACACGCACAUAUGUUUAGUGAAGUGAGAAAGCACUGAAAAUGUGCUUACCAUGCGCUUUACCAAAACGCCAAUAUUGCAGUUAUAAACACAGCUUGUCUCUCUCUUUUGAGAGACUGUCACUAACUCUUUCUCUCUGUUUCUUCAUUUUACUCUUUGCUCCUACAGACAUACACACUAUGAAUGCACCAUAUAGCAUAUUGGAUAUUGACCAUUAUUAGACUUUUUAUUUUUAAUUUACACUACUGUUCAAUAGUUUGGAGUCGGUUUGAAUUUUUCAUGGUUUUGGAAAAAAAGUAUCUUACGCUCAACAGGUGUGCAUUUAUUUGAUCAAAAAUACUAUAAAAGCUGUAAUAUUGUGAAACAUUAUUACAAUUUUAAAAAGCCAUUUUCUAUUUUAAUAUAUUGUAAAAUAUAAUUUAUUCUUGUGUUGGCAAGCUGGAUUUUGUACAAUCAUUAUUCCAGUCUUAAGUGUCACAUGAUCCUUCAGAAAUCAUUCUAAUAUGCUCAAUCUCCAAUAUGAAAAAUUGUGGCCUGUGCUAUUAGUGGGUGCAUUUUAUUCUUGUUUUUAUUUUUUUUGUUGUUAGUAAAAUUGUCGGCUUGUGUCUAGUUAGUGGUGUCUAUUUUAUUUCUUUGUUUUUAUUUUUUUGUUGUUGUCAUAAUUUUUUCCUAUACUGGGUAGAACAUGAGAACAUCUCCAUGGAGACCCACAGAUCUACUUCCACUUUGCUUCAAAGCCAUAUGUUUUGGUCCAGCCUCCCUCCUGCCACAAGUACAGAGUGGAGAAAGAGAACCCUUAAGACGCUUUUUUUUUGUUUCCAUGUUUUACCUCCCUGAGCAACCAUCAGAUAAACAAGAAACUCAAAGUAAAAGCGCAUCACUCAAAAUAAACCAAGGCUUUCUCAGGAGACAUUCCCUGGUGGCUCAACCUGGAUCUUUUAGACACAAUCUUUUUCCUGUGACUCCACUCCCUUUGAGGAGAGAUUUGUGGGAAAUGCUGAGGCAGAGGAUAUGAAAAAAGAGAAAUGCUUCAUGCAAGCAAGAUUCCCAGAGGGGAUGUUGUUUCUUUAAGUCCAGGCAGGCUGGAGUUUGUUAAAGGUGUGGAAACUCUGGUUGAAAAGGAUGUUGCCAUGUGGCUUCAUGCAAGCAAGAUUCCCAGAGGGGAUGUUGUUUCUUUAAGUCCAGGCAGGCUGGAGUUUGUUAAAGGUGUGGAAACUCUGGUUGAAAAGGAUGUUGCCAUGUGGUUGCUAAGUUGUUUUAAUGAUUGUUAGCAUGUGGCUAUGCUGUUGAUCAGAUUAAUUUGUCCUAAAGUCUGUAUGAUAUUCUCAUCCCUAGAUUUAUUAUUUCAGUGUCAGUUUAUGGUUGUUUUCCACUUUUUUCCCCUAUCUACCAGGCAAAAAAUCCAUUUAUCAUCUCGUCUCACAUAUGGGAUGAUUUAUGUGGCAAAGUUUAAACAUAUGAUAAUUAUGUAUAUUUAUAAUAUAAUUAUCAUUUUUAUCAUUUUUAAAAAUGUGUUUUGGGCUAGGUACAACUUUUUUUCUUGUUCUAUUUUAGAAUUAUCUUGUUUGAUUCAAAAGUACAGUAAAAAAACAGUAAUAUUGUGAAAUAUUAUAAAAAAAAAUUAUAACUUGCAGUUUAAAACAUAUGAUAAUUAUGUAUAUUUAUAAUAUAAUUAUCAUUUUUAUCAUUUUUAAAAAUGUGUUUUGGGCUAGGUACAACUUUUUUUCUUGUUCUAUUUUAGAAUUAUCUUGUUUGAUCAAAAAGUACAGUAAAAAAAAACAGUAAUAUUGUGAAAUAUUAUAAAAAAAAAUUAUACUUGCAUUAUUGUUCCAUUCUGUUACAUAUAACAUAUAGACUUGUCCUUUCAUUACAACGUUCUACAUCACAUUACGAGCGUGUGUUUGGAGUUAAACAAAGCAUGCAUUUCAGCUGAGUGUGUAUAUGUAGUGUGUGUUUGAUUGUGGUGCUGUGAUGUAACUCUACAUAAAGAAUGGCCUGCGGACAGUAUGACAGGCUGAGGACAGUGGUAAUGUGGAUUCAGGAGGAUGCACUGGCCCGAGGAGCUCUGUCACAUGUAGAUGAGAAGGUCAGAAUGUGCAAGACUGUGUGUGUGUAUGCGCACAUGAGGGAAGUUGUAUCUAUAAUUGCAAUUUGUAUUAUAAAUUAUUAUAAACGGAAAUAUUAGUCAAGUGCUGAAGUGUAUAAUUUCAAAUAAGAAAAACUUUUUUUUUUUUUAUUUUCUAAUGUGAAUUUAUUAUUAAUGUUUAUUACAUUUUCCUUUUUUUUCAUUUAGAUGUGUAAGGUAUUGGGCUGAAUCUUAGUUACCUGCUUUACUUGGAGCUGGCAAGACUGAUAUGAAUGUUGCUUGUAUAUUAUCUCCUGCUAUCUGAGCACUUUGAUGUCUGAAUGCAUUGGUUCACCACUGAAAAUGACAGGAUGACUAAAUGCACACAAACACAUUAUCAUACACAUGAAUUAGCUACAAAUUAAUGCAGAUGUAACUU
rnacentral:lncRNA from 1 species